rnacentral:tRNA from 1 species
AAAGGGAGACCUAAUUCAGGUAAAAGACGAAAAAAAAGUAGUCGCUACCAAGAAUCAAUCCCAAAAGGUCGGAGCGAGGCGAAAUUGGCUUUCAAACUAGGUUCUGGGUUCAAACAAGACCUGAAUCAGGAACAAGGGCUAUUAGCUCAGGUGGUUAGAGCGCACCCCUGAUAAGGGUGAGGUCCCUGGUUCGAGUCCAGGAUGGCCCACCUGCACAGGUGGCAAAAACAAGAGAAGCGAGGAAUCAGCACCUUAUCUUACUUAUAUAGUAAGAGAGAAUGCUGACUCUGAGUAAAGAGUCCAGAGGAACCUUGAAAACUGCAUAGAGCUAGGUGAAAAAGCCAAAAAAGAAGACCGCAAG